rnacentral:rRNA from 1 species
CUAGGAAUCUUCCACAAUGGACGAAAGUCUGAUGGAGCAACGCCGCGUGCAGGAUGAAGGCUUUCGGGUCGUAAACUGCUUUUUUCUGUGAUGAUUAUGACAGUAGCAGACGAAUAAGGAUCGGCUAACUCCGUGCCAGCAGCCGCGGUCAUACGGAGGAUCCAAGCGUUAUCCGGAAUUACUGGGCGUAAAGAGUUGUGUAGGUGGUUAAGUAAGCAAUGUGUGAAAUGAUGGGGCUCAACCCUGUGUC